CCAUGCCCCUUCCCCGCCGCGGGAGGGCAUUACGCAAGGCGCUGCCCUCAUCUGCAUACGGUCGCCGGGUAUUCCCCGCGCCGCUCGCGGCGUGACGCCCGCGCCCCCCGGCCGCCCCGCCGCACCGAGGCGGCACCCCGCCGGCCCCGGCCCCGCCGCCGAGCCCCGGCCCCGCGCCGCCCCCGCUGUCAGCCGGGCUGGGGGCGGCUGCGGCAGCGCUGCCGCUCACCUGGCGAGUGGCCGCGGAGAGCCCUCCCGGUGCCCUUUCGCUGCCGCCGCUCCCGCCGGGCGCUCUCGUCGCUCCGCGCCGGAGUGAGGUGGCCGGCGGCGUUGCUUUAUAUAAAGACAGACAGCGGUAUUCCAGCAGCCAAAGGGGCGUCUGUUUCACGUAUUUAUCUUAAGGUAGAUCAUCGCUCUCCCUCCGCUCGGCAGAGACCGGCAUCGGCGAGGCGGCGGGCGGGCGGAAGGGAGAGAGAGAGAGGGAGGGAGCCGCGCUCCGCAGUCGCUCGGCCGGGCUAUUCCUGGCAGCGCUUCCCAGCGCACAAGUUGCAGGGCGGCGAGCGCGGGGAGCGCGCCGCGCGUGACGUCACCGGGUCCCCCCGCGCGCCGGCGGGGAGCGAGCGGGGCGCGAGCGGCAGCGCCCGGCCGCGGGGUGAUGGGCGCCGCCCGCGCGCGUGUGCGUGUGUGUGUGCGCGAGGCGGCGGGAGGCGGCGCGGGGAGAGGGAGAGGUGCGCCGGGAGGGCGUGGGGGGGGCGAGGGGCCGGGCCUGGGCCGCUCCCCGCCGGAGGAGAGCGCCGCUCCCCCGCCCCCUCCCCGCGGAGGGAACUCCCAGGAGAGCCGGUCCCGGCUUGCCAUGCACGGGGACCGCGCGUCCUCCGGCCUGAGAAUUUCCUCGGAGGACGUGGGAGUCUCCUUCCCCCGCUCUCCUCCCUCCCUGCGCGCCGCCCCCCGGGCUCUCGCCUGCUCGGGAUCGCGUUAUCUGUCGGGAAGCGGAACGCAGCGCCGGGGCCGACGCCGCCCCGGCGGCCGACCCUCGCUCGCCCCCGUUGCCGCGGCCCGAGAGCCCCGGGCCCUUUCCUAACUGCCACCGCCCAUCGGCAGCCCUCGCGGUACCGGGGGCCGCCGCCUCAGCCCGGCUGA
rnacentral:lncRNA from 1 species